rnacentral:rRNA from 1 species
UACGUAGGGUGCAAGCGUUGUCCGGAAUUAUUGGGCGUAAAGAGCUUGUAGGCGGUUUGUCGCGUCUGCUGUGAAAUUUCGGGGCUCAACCCCGAACUUGCAGUGGGUACGGGCAGACUAGAGUGUGGUAGGGGAGACUGGAAUUCCUGGUGUAGCGGUGAAAUGCGUAGAUAUCUGGAGGAACACCGGUGGCGAAGGCGGCGUCCUGGACCAACACUGACACUGAGGAGCGAAAGCCAGGGGAGCAAACGGG